rnacentral:rRNA from 1 species
AUGGGGAGAAGGGAGGCGCUCGCGGUUCUCCUCGCGGUCGUCGUCCUCGCGGCGGCGGCCGGGGAGGCGGGCGCGGCCAAGGGGAAGGCCAAGGGGAAGUACCGGGCGCUGUUCAACUUCGGGGACUCGCUGGCCGACGCCGGCAACCUCAUCGCCAACGGCGUGCCGGACAUCCUCGCCACCGCCAGGCUGCCCUACGGCCAGACCUACUUCGGCAAACCCACCGGCCGCUGCUCCGACGGCCGCCUCGUCAUCGACCACCUGGCGCAGGAAUUCGGGCUGCCCCUGCUGCCGCCGUCCAAGGCCAAUCGCUCCGACUUGAGUCACGGUGCCAACUUCGCCAUCACCGGCGCCACCGCGCUCGACACGCCCUACUUCGAGGCCAGGGGCCUCGGCGCCGUCGUCUGGAACUCCGGCGCCCUCAUGACCCAAAUCCAGUGGUUCCGUGACCUCAAGCCUUUCUUCUGCAACGGCACCAAGGAAGAAUGCAAGGAGUUCUAUGCCAACUCGCUGUUCGUCGUCGGCGAGUUCGGUGGCAACGACUACAACGCGCCCCUGUUCGCCGGGAAGGGCCUCACAGAGGCGUACAAGUUCAUGCCGGAUGUCAUCCAGGGCAUCUCCGAUGGCGUCGAGGUAGCCAUUGCUUCUUCCUUGUUACUUACAUAUCUGUUUGCUCGCUGUCAACCACGAUUGCUCAUGUACGGUAUGGUGCAGGAAUUGAUCGCCGAGGGGGCAGUGGAUCUCAUCGUGCCAGGGGUGAUGCCAACUGGGUGCUUCCCCGUGUACCUGAACAUGCUCGACAUGCCAGCCCACGAGUAUGGCGCCCGGAGCGGGUGCAUCCGUCAGUACAACACCUUCUCAUGGGUGCACAACGCACACCUCAAGAGAGCACUCGAGAAGCUCCGGCCCAAGCACCCCAAUGUGCGGAUCAUAUACGGCGACUACUACACGCCGGUUGUCCAGUUCAUGCUCCAGCCUGAGAAGUUUGGAUUCUACAAGCAGUUACCUAGGGCAUGCUGUGGGGCUCCUGGGUCCGUUGCCAAAGCCGCUUACAACUUCAACGUGACAGCCAAAUGCGGGGAGCCUGGUGCCACUGCCUGUGCUGACCCAACGACCCACUGGAGCUGGGACGGUAUUCACUUGACGGAGGCUGCUUAUGGUCAUAUCGCCAGGGGUUGGCUAUAUGGCCCUUUCGCAGACCAACCGAUUGUUCAGUCCUCGUGA